GCGCUCGUAGCUCAGUUGGAUAGAGCAACAGCCUUCUAAGCCGUAGGUCGCAGGUUCGAAUCCUGCCGGGCGUACCA
rnacentral:tRNA from 4 species